AAGGGUGUGGUCGAAGAAGUGGCCCCGUGACGUCACAGCCUCCGCGCGCACGGAGCUGGCGAGAGCUGCUGUUCAGCGAGUGUGUUUCAUAUCGCGAUAAAUCCAUCACCAAGCCAGACAAACCAUGGCGCACGGGCUGAAAGAACGCUUCGAGAAGUUCCUUUACGAGAAGAACCUGAUGACAGACGUGCUGGCGAAGAUCGAGGCGAGGACCGGAGUGAGCAGGUCCUACAUCGCGUGCGCUGUCGUCUUGCUCGUUGCAGUCUAUCUGGUGGUCGGAUACGGCGCUUCUCUGCUCUGUAACCUCAUCGGAUUCGUUUAUCCUGCGUACAUAUC